UAUUUAUGUAUAUAUAUAUAUAUAUAUAUAUAUAUAUGUAUAUAUAUAGAGAGAGAGAGAGAGAGAGAGAAAAUGUAUAAAACAAUAGUAUCUUCCAAAGCUAAAAAUGCACCAAGGGAAGGUUAAGGAGGGUUCGCGUAUGCCUUUGUAAAAUUGUCAUUUUGUGAUGUUCUUAUUAAUACAAUGAGAAAGAGAGAGAGAGAGAGGGGGGAGAGAGAGAGAGAUCAUGAAUGAAAAUGUUUGUUGUUGACUCUUUAACGUUUAUUAAUUACGAUUAAUCGUUUUUAAGAGUCUACGUGGUUAAGUAACAAAGAUUGCCAGUUGUAUUAAAUAUAAUGUAGAGUCUCUCUCCUUCCUAGAGUUAUAAUAAAAGAAAAAAGGAAAAAAAAAAAGAAAAAGAAAAAGAAAUAAACAAACAAACAAACAAAAAAUGUAAAAGAAAUAACUGCGAAUAAUGUUGAAACGGUCUCGAUUCUAUUUCUUUUCAAGAUAUAUCCUGAUGAGACUUGCUCUCAUAAAGUUGUAUUUGAUAAAUAAUUUGUAAAACUAUUAAUGGAAUAUGCAGGUAUAUUAUGAAUGAAUAGUGCCUGGCACCACUUGUGGCCCUCCUGUUAGGGUGCUUUCCCAAAAUGUUCUGUGCAAUAUUAAAUUGUUGCUAUGUGUUAAGGGAGAUUAUGAGAUAUAAAAAAUUAUGUAAACGGUCUGAUAUCUGUAAAGAGAAUGAUCAGCGCGAAUUUUAUAUCCACCGAUUUAAAAGUUGGUGAAUAAAGCAGGGUUUCAUGGGAAAGCAACCUGUUAUUAAUUGUGUAAAAUAAAAGAAAGAUAAGAGAUUAUAUAAAAAAAAAAAAAAAUAAAUAUAUAAUAUAAUCUCGAAUAUAUAUAUAUAUAUAUAUAUAUAUAUAUAUAUAUAUAUGUGUAUAUAUAUAUAUGAUCAGUUUCUUUACACUGCAUAUUAGAUAUGUUUCAGAUGACUGUACGAACAAUCGGUAUAUAAAAUAUAAUGAAAAAUCUAUAUAUACGUAUAGUCUCUCCUAACGUAAUCACACAAAUUUUUAAAAUGAUCACAAAGUGCAAUCUCUUAGCCAACACACUUUUUUAUCAAACGAAAGAAAAGAAAAAAAGUAUAAAGAACUUGUUAUUUUUCAUAACGAAGAAGUAAAAUUUAAUGUAUUGAAAAAAAAAAAAUAUAUAUAUAUAUAUGUCUUCACUAGUUAUUAAACUUUUCCUAUUGACACACACGAAAAAUUUAUUAUAUUUAAUUGAUAUUUUAUUAGUAUAUCACACAUGAAAAUAUGUAUAAAUGCCUGGCAUUAUAAAUCCUUGCAAUGUAAAAAGAAUAUGAAAGAGCAAGAUAAGUGUCUGGUUUGGGAUGUCUUGUAAACAGCUUCUUUUUCUCUUUACAUAUAUAUAUAAAUAAUAUAUAUAUAUAUAUAUAUAUAUAUAUAUAUAUAUAUAUAUGUAUAUAUAUAUAUAUUAUUUUUUUUCCUACUCUUUAUUUAUUAUUCGUGGUGUGACACGAAAGUAUUCGGAAAUCAAUACAUAUUGAUUACUCUUUUUUACAGAAAAGAAAAAAGAAAAAAACAUUUUUAUACUUUUUAUUUAUACGAUAAAGUAAAGAAAAAAAAAAAAAAAAAGGAUUAAAAAAGAAGUCAUUCAUAAAAAUUCUAUAAUCGCAAAUUCAAAAUGCAAUUCAGUCAGUGAAUUUAUCAUCAUUGUAUUUAUUUCGCGUGCAACUCCAAUAACAAUUUAAAUUAAUUAAUUAAUUAAUAUAAUUAUUAUUGUUGAUAUUUCGAAUUGAGCCAAAAAAAAAAGAAAAAAGAGAAAAAAAAAGAGAGGAAGCAGAAAAAGGAAAAAAAAAAAAGAAAACGAAGAAAAAAAGAAGCCGUGAGCAGAAUAUUACGAGGCGAAAAAUUACGAGCGUUAAAAAUUUUGCUCGUUAAAUUCGAAAUUAAAAGAGAAUUACUUAUAUACAUCGUUCGAUAACUCUCUCGUUAUCAUUUUAAUAUUUAAUAUCAUCCAUAAUGAGCUCAAUGGAAAGUAAUUUAAUAGUUUUUACACCAACACUUAUAUAAACGAUCACAAUGUGAUGUGAAAAGCAUGCUCAGUACUUUAUAUAUAUGCAAGAUUUAUUAAUGUAUUAUCGGAUCUAUUUUAUCAUAAAAAA